GUCCGGCGCAGUUACGGCAUUGUAGACGUCAUCAAAAGCCGACGGCUGUGACGUAAGAAAGCGACGACGCUUCUAGUUGUUAGCAAAGUUGGUAGGUGCUCUUUUAUAGAUUCGUGAGAAAUUAAAUCGGUUGUUUGGUCCACGGCUGUUAGGCUUUUCACCAGGUCACUGCCGUGGAUGGACUAGUGCAAGUUUGAACAUACGCCCUUUUGGACAGUUCCGCCGCUCUUCUCUUCUAAACGCAGUCAUGUUCCACAACAGCUCUCAGAGGAAAUACUGGAUUUUCAGAAGCGAAGAGGAACUGGAGCAAAUGAGACGUAAAGCCAACCAGAAAUUCCGCAACAAGUUACUAGAAAGUGGGAAGUCUGGAGUACGUGAAUCCAUGUUCCUGGAGCGUCAUGAGGAAGACAUGCUGUUCAGAUACUACGAGAGGAGGCUUUUGGAUUUGUGCAACGCCUUUAAGCCUGCUAUGCCGAAGUCUGUGGUGGGCACAGCCAUCAUGUACUUCCGAAGAUUCUACCUCAACAAUUCCAUUAUGGAGUAUCACCCCAGGAUCAUCAUGCUGACAUGUGCGUACCUGUCCUGUAAAGUAGAUGAGUUCAAUGUGUCCAGCGCCCAGUUUGUAGGCAACCUUCUGCAGGAGACCCCGGCAGGACAGGAAAGGGUUCUGGAGCAAAUUCUAGAAUAUGAGCUGCUGCUCAUCCAACAGCUUAAUUUCCAUCUGGUGGUGCACAACCCCUACAGACCCAUGGAAGGCCUGCUCAUUGACCUCAAGACACGAUACCCUGCGCUGGAAAGCCCAGAGUCACUGAGGAAGAACGUAGAUGACUUUUUGACACAGGCAGCCAUGACAGAUGCAGGGCUGCUGUUUCCCCCUUCACAAAUCGCACUGACGGCUAUUCUGAACAGCGCUUCGAGGGCUGGUCUUAGCAUGGAGAGCUACCUGACUGAAUCCCUGUCACUGAAGGAGGAUAAAGAGACCCUCUUAAAGAUGUAUGACUCUAUGAGGCGCAUGAAGGCUCUCCUGAAUCAGUAUGAGCUUCCCAAAGCAGAGGAGGUGAAUGUCUACAAACAGAAGCUGGAAAGGAUUCAUGCCGAGUUUACCACUUCAAGCACGUAAGGAGAUGAAGGUUAUGUUAUUUUGCCUUGCAGCAAACGAAAGCGAGGAUAUGAGGAAGAUGGCCAUGUUGCAAAAGAACCGCGACUGGCAGAAGAGGAAUGGACUGAUGAAGACCUGCUUUGAGCUCUACCCGGCUAUUAAGCUACUGUUAACUUAUUGUACAGCUAAUCGUCAACAGGACAGAUGUGACCAAGCCCAGUUUGUACAUAUUUUACUUACUUUCCUGGCCUUGCAUGAAUCCACAUUUAGUUUUGCUCUGCAUAUUUUUCUACAGUGUAUGUUUCUGUUAAUAAUAAAAGUGGGGGAAUCUUUGAAAUGUCA